GGCUUCAAUUCGCGGGAACACUUGGACGCAGAUGAGACGCUCAACUCGAAGAACCUGCAAAUCAAAUAGUUGUCGAUUUUGAUUUCCAUAAAUUUUGUAGCAGUGAGCCUUGCGCUUCCUUGUCUUUGAUACCUUCAUGGCUCUUCAGUUCAACUCUCUCCUAUACUCUUACAAAACCAGUAUACGCAGCAGACCCUCUAUUCCAUCCUCGUCUCCCCAUAGGUUUCCCACUUCUUACAGUCCAAUCUCUCUUCCUUCCUGCAAAUUGAAGCUGCCAAAACGCAGGUGCAAUCGGGUUGUUUCUGCUGUGGUUUCCGAAAAGAACGCGGUUGAAUCGAGUUUCUCCGGCACUGAUUUAUUCAAACUCACCUACUUGGAGGGGAAUAGUUGGUUGUGGGAUGUUGGUGGGUCGAAAAUAUUGGUCGAUCCAAUCUUGGUUGGUAACUUGGAUUUUGGAAUUCCUUGGCUUUACGAUGCAGCCAAGAAGUUUUUGAAGAGUUUCCAGCUUAGAGAUCUUCCGGAAAUCAAUUGUUUACUCAUUACACAAAGCCUUGAUGAUCACUGCCAUAUGAAGACCUUGAAGCCGCUGUCUGAAAAGUUCCCAAAUCUUCCAGUCAUAGCAACUGCCAAUGCAGAAACAUUGUUGAACCCCCUUUUCAGAAAUGUUACAUAUUUGGAACCUGGUCAAAGCUCUGAAAUUGAAGGACAGAAUGGUUCUAAAAUCACAAUCAGGGCCACUACAGGACCUAUUCUGGGCCCUCCAUGGCAGAGACCAGAAAAUGGGUAUCUCAUCACUUCUCCACAAGGCCAGUUAACUCUCUACUAUGAACCCCACUGUGUCUACAACCAAGCAUUUCUGGAAAAGGAGCAGGCUGACAUAGUAAUCACUCCAGUUAUAAAGCAAUUGCUUCCUAGUUUGACAUUGGUUUCUGGACAAGAAGAUGCGGUGCAGCUUGCAAAGCUUCUUAACGCCAAAUUCAUUGUGCCUAUGAAAAAUGGGGACCUUGAUAGCAACGGAUUUCUUGCAAGUAUAAUUCAGGCUGAAGGAACAAUAGAAUCAUUCAAGGAGAUGUUGUCAAAAGAGCUACCAGAUGCACAGGUACUAGAACCAACCCCUGGUGUACCAUUAGAAAUUCCCGCUACAUCGAUCAAUAGUGUACCUUGCCUUCUUGAUGCCUAAAGGAAUUGCAAUGUCUUCUAGCUCUCUAUAUUAUUGAGAUUAAGUGAGUGCUUUAUUAAUUAUUAGAUACAUCUUCAUUAUUGUGUCUUUGCUUGUUUGUAAUCAUAAGAAGUAAGACGUCAUCAUAUUUGGUAUUAUAUCUUCUGUCUUGUGUACAUGGAUUCAUCUCAAACACCCUUAGAAGUCUAGCUAAUUGUAUUCGAUGGUAUGCAUUAGUUUGAAUAGUAACUCAAGCAAGGACAAAGUUACCACUA